rnacentral:lncRNA from 1 species
GCAAACACGUCCUUCUUCACAUGUCGUCGUCAUCAAGGAGAAGUGCUGAGCCAAAGGGGGAAAAGCCCUUGAGAAAACCAUCAAGUCUUAAGACGGGUUGAAGAUCCGAGAGGCUGAGUCACUUCCACAAAGUAACACAGCUGAUUUUAAAUGCCUGCAUUCAGCAUCCCUGCAGCAGGCUCCAGGUGGAAUUCUAAUGGGACCAGCCUCCAGUCCCUGGACCUUAGCCGUGGAAGGAGAGAAGAGGACAUCUGCACCUCCUCUCAGAGAAAGCCUGAUGCCUACUAAAGGACUUGGGUGGUGGACGCAGUGACCCUCAGUCUGGAGCUUGUUCACUGAACAUUGGAGACUAUCAUUUGCGCAGAUGGUCUUGGGCCUCUAUGAGCAGCAGGCUGCACCCCACAGUGACCUCCUCAUUCUACUCUGAGGCAUCUUCAUGAAAGCAGAUGUCCAUUGAAAAGCACCCAAGUGCAGUCUCAGCUGAUGAACUUCAGAGGCGAUUGAGACAAAGGCUCUCGGUCCCCUCUGCCCUUGGAUGGUGCCUCUGGUAUGCACUUGGCCUCUGUGUCUUUAUUUAGACUGGUCACUUCACAACCCAUCAUGUCACCCCACCCCUAACCGUGCCCACUCUGGGUCCUCCCCUCAACUGCCUGACUUCCCACUUUGAGCUCAGCAAAGGCAAUAGAUGUUUUGUCUGCUUCGAUACCCUAAAUGCAUGGCGUGGAAGCUGGCACACAGUGGGCCCUUGAAAUUUGGGAGUGAAUAUGUAUAUAUAUUAUAUUCCAACCUCAACUUUCCUCACUGCUCCUCAUAGUAGGAAUGGAUUGUAAAACUUCCCAGAAUGUUCAAGAGGAGAAAGGAGAGAAAACAGCCUGGAAUUUGAGCUAAGGGGCCCACAGCCCAGCCACCAAGCCAUCUGUAAAAUGGGGUGGGAAUAUGACAUGAGCCACAGGGGUGCUAUGAGGGUUAAUGAGGUCACCGUGCG